UUAGUAAAAAGGCACAAGUAAAUAGUACAAAGUGUAAAAAUAUACCAGAUAUAAGAAUACCAGGAGAUGAAGAAAACUGUUAAAAAUGAAUAUAGUGCCGGGAAACAACUGAGAUACGGGACUAUUAAUAAUGUGAAUAUAGUGCAAAAAGUGAUUAUAGUGCUAGAUAAUAAAAUAUAGGAGAUGUAGAGACCAGGGGAUUAAGAAAUGCCAAAUAUGGAAUAUAAUGCGGGAUAAGAACUGAAGGUAGA